rnacentral:tRNA from 1 species
GCAGGGGUUUCCGAGUGGUCAAAGGAGCAGGACUGAGGCUCCUGUGGCAUAGGCCUGCGUGGGUUCAAAUCCCAUCCCCUGCACCA